AUGGAGUUCAAGAAGUUCUGAACAUUUCAACUGAGGUUCAUGUUUUUCACCGUGCCAGACUUGACUUGGAUCAUGCCAGACUUGAGAAAGAUCAUGCCAGACUUGAGAAAGAUCAUGCCAGACUUGAGAAAGAUCAUCUCAGACUUGAGAAAGAUCAUGCCAGACUUGACUUGGAUCAUGAGGUUUCACAAAAUGAUCGAGACUUCUCUGUUUUGGCUCGAUUGGCCCAUACUGCACGUACCGGCAACCAUACUGAUGGACUGAUCUAGCCUUUUGAUCAGUUCACGCACUUUGAUGAGCCAAGUUUCACUAAGGCAAGGAUCCUUCACCUUGCUGAAGACAUAGGACACACUUUGUAAGAACCCUCACAAGCAUAUAUAAUUUUGGUCGAGAAAAAUCCCGCUCGACCAGUUUGGAGUUGGUUCGACCAGAAUUAAAAAUAAAAAUCGAUCCGGUGAAUUAUUCUUGAUCGGACUGUCUCGAGGCCAAAGUACCUACUCUUAAUAGUUCUGACCAAGUGUUAAUUAUUAUGGUCGAGUUUUAUCUAUAAGCUGGAUCAGAACCAAUGGACGGGAAACAUUUUAUCGAAAACUGGUCUUGAAUACUUUCAGCUGCUUGCGAGUCAUGUGCAUGUCAUGUGCUGCUUGGGUGCUUGCUUCCUUCCUGACCUGUACAUGUGACUUGCACCUUCCAGCUUGCUUGCUACAUUAAAGUCAUGUGAGUUGCACACCUGCUUGAAGUUUCUUCAUGAAAAGGAAAUGACAUUACUUCAUGGGAAGGAAAGUGUGAUUCAGCUCACCACAUGUCUCAUACUGAUCUGAAACUUUUGUCCUUUCUUGCUGACUCUUCUCCUGCUAUUUCCCCUGUCAUUUAUUACCUUGUCCUCUUCCUGGUCGAGCUCAUUCAUCUCAGAAACAAGAAAGAAAAAUUCAGAGAGAAAGAGAGAAAGAAAGAGUGAAAAAUCUGUGAGGAAAAUACUUGAAAAAUUCAGAAAAAAAUAAGAGAAGAGAAGUGAGCUUGGACGACCCUUUCUCACCCUCUUCUGACUUUAAUCAGUGAGUAUUGGUGUGGUUAAGAGCUGAAUAUUUGGUGUCCUGAAGUUCAGAAUCACCCAUGUUCUUCAGCCUUUGGUUUUGAUCGGUUAGGAGUGGCUUCAACGAUAAGUUGUGUACCAUCUGAAUUCAGAAGAUUGUUGAUUUGAAUCGGUAAGAGCUUAUGGGUUUGAUGAGAUCAGUUUUUGUUAA